AGAACACAUACCAAUUGCCAUGCUGUGGAAGAAAUUCGAGCUAUGCUGUAGAAAGGGAAAGAAGUUGCAGUCAAGCGUGAGAGAGCAGUGGCAUCGGCCCUACCUCAUCAGCUCCUUACAAUGCAUGACGGUGGGGAGUCCUGUUUUUUCUUUUUUUGUUCGCCAGCCUUCCCGUCGCACAAGGUCACCAAGUCCCUACUAACAUAACUACUACCUAAGAAGACCAGGUUUGAUUUUAAUGCUCUUCCACCAUUGCUACUUCUCAUUACGACGUAUAUGUAAACAACUGAUGGUAUUUUUUUGUAUCGAAAACAACUGAUGGUAUUCUUAUGAACUAACUUCCAUAUUUUGAAAUUCAGCAACUUGGAUUCGUGACCAUGGUUAGUAGUAAUCUCUUUUCAGAUAAGGGGUUUCCUUGCACCAGUUUGGUACCAGUUCUUGACUUUGAUUUUCUAUCAUUCUUACUGGUGAGAGUUCUCCACUUUUCACUGUUUUUCUAUAUAUCUAGAUGAUGUUUCAAGCAGGGUGAUUGCAGUUCAGUUACUUGUGGAAUAUUGAAGAGUUGUUGUUCAAUUCCAUGCUAAACGGCCGGUGUUCCUAUCUGAUUUGUUUUUGAAAGAAUGUUCACCUUAGAGGUCAUCCAAGGCCUGGUGACAAGCAGGAUGAGGACAUCAUAAUGACCAGCACUGGAGCAGCAUUUUGAAUAUCAUGACCAUAAAGUGGAAAGCUUAUUACGGAAGUACAAGAUCUUGUGCAGAGUUGAUUAACUACACUGAGCUUGCUCGAUGCCAUCUGAAACUCAAGGAUCAAGAUGUGCUCAGUCGAUGAUGGCGAUACCCAGACAUUAUGAAAAAUGUUUCCAUAUAAGGCCUUAACUUAAAUUUUAGACGAACAUUGUUUCGAAGAUAUUGAUUUUAAUGCUCUUCCACCAUUGGUACUUCUGAUUCAACGUAUAUGUAAACAUCUGAAGGUAUUCUUAUGAACAAAUUCAUAUUUUCAAAUUUAGAAGCUUGGAUUCGUGACCG